rnacentral:rRNA from 1 species
AAUUGGAGGGCAAGUCUGGUGCCAGCAGCCGCGGUAAUUCCAGCUCCAAUAGCGUAUAUUAAAGUUGUUGCAGUUAAAAAGCUCGUAGUUGAAUUUCGGGAUCAAUAUUUCGGUCAUGCCGUUGGUAUGCACUGUUAUCAUUGAUUUCUCACCUUCUAAGGAACCGUAAUGCCAUUAAUUUGGUGUUACGGGGAAUUAGGACUGUUACCUUGAAAAAAUUAGAGUGUUUAAAGCAGGCUCACGCUUGAAUACAUUAGCAUGGAAUAAUGAAAUAGGACAUCCGAUUCUAUUUUGUUGGUUUCUAGGAUCGAUGUAAUGAUUAAUAGGGAUAGUUGGGGGCAUUAGUAUUCAAUUGUCAGAGGUGAAAUUCUUGGAUUUAUUGAAGACUAACUACUGCGAAAGCAUUUGCCAAGGAUGUUUUCAUUAAUCAAGAACGAAAGUUAGGGGAUCGAAGACGAUCAGAUACCGUCGUAGUCUUAACCAUAAACUAUGCCGACUAGGGAUCGGAUGAUGUUAAUUUUUUAAUGACUCAUUCGGCGCCUUACGGGAAACCAAAGUGU